GAUGAAGAACGUAGCGAAAUGCGAUAAGUAAUGUGAAUUGCAGAAUUCAGUGAAUCAUCGAAUCUUUGAACGCACAUUGCGCCCCCUGGUAUUCCGGGGGGCAUGCCUGUUCGAGCGUCAUUUCACCACUCAAGCCUCGCUUGGUAUUGGGCAUCGCGGUCCGCCGCGCGCCUCAAAUCGACCGGCUGGAUCUUCUGUCCCCUAAGCGUUGUGGAAACUAUUCGCUAAAGGGUGUUCGGGAGGCUACGCCGUAAAACAACCCCAUUUCUAAGGUUGACCUCGGAUCAGGUAGGGAUACCCGCUGAACUUAAGCAUAUCAAUAAGCGGAGGA
rnacentral:misc_RNA from 1 species